rnacentral:tRNA from 1 species
GCAUUGGUGCCUCAGGGGUAGAAUCUUCACCUUCCAGGCAAGAGACCCAGGUUCAAUUCCUGGCCAAUGCA